rnacentral:rRNA from 1 species
GACGAACCGUGCGAACGUUGUUCGGAAUCACUGGGCUUAAAGGGCGCGUAGGCGGGCUGUCAAGUCUGGGGUGAAAUGCCGCGGCUCAACCGUGGAACUGCCUCAGAUACUGGACGGCCUCGAGGAAGGUAGGGGCAUGCGGAACUGUAGGUGGAGCGGUGAAAUGCGUUGAUAUCUACAGGAACUCCGGUGGCGGAAAGCGGCGUGCUGGACCUUUUCUGACGCUGAGGCGCGAAAGCUAGGGGAGCAAACGGG